rnacentral:rRNA from 1 species
ACUUGCUCCCUGAUGUUACGGCGGACGGGUGAGUACACGUGGGUACCUGCCUGUAAGACUGGGAUAACUCCGGGAAACCGGGGCUAAUACCGGAUGCUUGUUUGAACCGCAUGGUUCAGACAUAAAAGGUGGCUUCGGCUACCACUUACAGAUGGACCCGCGGCGCAUUAGCUAGUUGGUGAGGUAACGGCUCACCAAGGCGACGAUGCGUAGCCGACCUGAGAGGGUGAUCGGCCACACUGGGACUGAGACACGGCCCAGACUCCUACGGGAGGCAGCAGUAGGGAAUCUUCCGCAAUGGACGAAAGUCUGACGGAGCAACGCCGCGUGAGUGAUGAAGGUUUUCGGAUCGUAAAGCUCUGUUGUUAGGGAAGAACAAGUGCCGUUCAAAUAGGGCGGCACCUUGACGGUACCUAACCAGAAAGCCACGGCUAACU